GGGCGGGAUCACGAGGGAAAUACCAUCUUCCGCAGGGGGAUGAGAGCUCGAAGGGAGUCGCCCAUUCUCUCCCAAGCGGGGUCCCUCUCUGCCAUGAGCAGCUUAGUGCGGACCGAACCUCUGAGCGGGGUCCCUUUGCUGGUUUCGGGCGACACCUACUCCGUGGUGGUUCUGCUGCAAGGCUAUUCGGAGCCAGAGAAGGUGGGCGACGCCGUGCGCGCUGACUGUUCCGUCACCCUGGUCCUGCCCCGGGCUUGGGACCCAGAGUCCAGCCCUCGAAAGUCUCUACCCGCAGGCGGUGAUGCAAAGACAGCCUUGGAGAGGGCGUCGCAUGGCCCCAUCCUCGUGGACACCCGGGGACCCUGGGCUCGGGAGGCACUGCUGGGGGCCCUGGCUAGGCAAGGCUUGUCCCCGGGAGACGUGAAUCUGGUGGUGGGGACCCACGGGCACUCUGAUCAUAUCGGGAACCUGGGCCUGUUUCCGGGGGCAGCUCUGCUGGUCUCGCACGACUUCUGCCUUCCCGGGGGCCUCUACCUGCCACAUGGGCUGAGUGAAGAGCAGCCCCUGCGCCUGGGGCCCGGGCUCGAAGUGUGGGCCACGCCGGGCCACGGGGGCCAGCGGGACGUGAGCGUGGUGGUGACAGGCACGGCCCUGGGCACCGUGGUGGUAGCGGGUGAUGUCUUUGAGUGCGAUGGAGAUGAGGACUCGUGGCAGGCGCUGAGCGAAGACCCGGUGGCACAGGAGCGGAGCCGAAAAAGGAUCUUAGGCACCGCCGAUGCGAUUGUGCCUGGUCAUGGAGCCCCUUUUCGGGUGAUCAGGGAAGCCCUUCAGCCAGAGGCAAAUAAUUGUGGGAACAGCACCUGGGAACCAGUGGACUGAGAUAAGGAGCUGACACUGCAAGGGGUGCAGCACGGACACACCCUCUUAGUCACGUGACCAAUCCAUUCGCUUUCUUCAUUCAGUGAAUAUUUAUUCAACACCUGCAAUGUCUCAAGCACUACGAUUCUCCGAAGAACCCCAAUUGCCUCGCUGGAGUGGAUCAGCCUCACUUGCACCUGGGCCCUCCCAACCCAAAGCAAGGGAA